AUUGAACGCUGGCGGCAGGCCUAACACAUGCACGUCGAACGAGUGGCGGACGGGUGAGUAAUGUCUGGGAAACUGCCUGAUGGAGGGGGAUAACUAAUGGAAACGGUAGCUAAUACCGAAUACCCGCUGAUGGGCCUAGAUGGGAUUAGCUAGUAGGUGGGGUACCGGCUCAGCUAGGCGACGAUCCCUUGCUGGUAUGAGAGGAUGAUCAGUCACACGUGAACUGAGACACGGUCCAGACGCCUACGGUAGGCAGCAGUGGGGAAUAUUGGACAAUGGGCGAAAGCCUGAUCCAGCCAGUCCGCGUGUGUGAAGAAGGUCUUCGGAUUGUAAAGCACUUUAAGUUGGGAGGCGUUACCAACAGAAUAAGCACCGGCUAACUUCGUGCCAGCAGCCGCGGUAAUAC
rnacentral:rRNA from 1 species